rnacentral:misc_RNA from 1 species
GAUCCUUUCAGAUUUCUCGUUUACUACGCCUUCGCAUUCUCGUUCGCUCCCAAGUAAAGAGCAGAGUUGAAAGAGGAGGAUAGCGAGAAUAAGAAUCCAGAGAUGUCGGUGCAAGAGUAUUUAGACAAGCACAUGCUCUCUCGGAAAAUUGAGGACGCCGUCAAUGCCUCGGUCAGGGCCAAAACUUCUGAUCCCGUUCUCUUUAUCUCUAAUCACAUGAGAAAAGCGGUUCCCUCUGUGAUAACAAAGAUAAAAGCCAGGCAG